rnacentral:rRNA from 1 species
CCCGCACAAGCGGUGGAGUAUGUUGUUUAAUUCGAAGAUACACGAAGAACCUUACCAGGUCUUGACAUACCAUUGACAGGCGCAGAGAUGUGCUCUCCUUCGGGCAAUGGAUACAGGUGGUGCAUGGUUGUCGUCAGCUCGUGCCGUGAGGUGUUGGGUUAAGUCCCGCAACGAGCGCAACCCUUGUCAUUAGUUGCUACAUUUGGUUGGGCACUCUAAUGAGACUGCCGGUGACAAACCGGAGGAAGGUGGGGAUGACGUCAAGUCCUCAUGGCCCUUAUAGGUGGGGCUACACACGUCAUACAAUGGCCGGUACAAAGGGUCGCAAACCCGCGAGGGGGAGCCAAUCCAUCAAAGCCGGUCGUAGUCCGGAUCGCAGUCUGCAACUCGACUGCGUGAAGUCGGAAUCGCUAGUAAUCGUGGAUCAGCAUGUCACGGUGAAUACGUUCCCGGGUCUU